AACUAACAAGGAUUCCCCUAGUAACUGCGAGUGAAGCGGGAAGAGCUCAAAUUUGUAAUCUGCCUUUUGGCCGAGUUGUAAUCUGGAGAAGCGUUAUCAGGCGCCGACCGCAUUAAAGUCUCUUGGAACAGGGCGUCACAGAGGGUGAGAAUCCCGUGAGUAAUGCGGCUGCGGCGUUGUAGAGGCGCUCUCGAUGAGUCGAGUUGUUUGGGAAUGCAGCUCAAANUGGGUGGUAAACUCCAUCUAAAGCUAAAUAUUGGCGAGAGACCGAUAGCGAACAAGUACCGUGAGGGAAAGAUGAAAAGGACUUUGGAAAGAGAGUUAAAGAGUACGUGAAAUUGCUGAAAGGGAAGCGCUUGAAGUGAGUCGCGCGGGCAGGAUUCAGCUUUGCGUAUUUCCUGCCUGUGGGCCAGCAUCGACGUGGCGGCGGACAAGGGCGGUGGGAAUGUGGCACCUUCGGGUGUGUUAUAGCCCGCUGUCGUACACGCUGCCUUACGUCGAGGACUGCUUAUAGGAUGCUGGCGUAAUGGCUUUAAGCGA
rnacentral:rRNA from 1 species